CUCGUCAGGCUCAGUCCCCUCCGGAUAAACCCCGAAAUGGGGGUCUUCCCGAGGG
rnacentral:pre_miRNA from 1 species